UACGUAGGGUGCGAGCGUUGUCCGGAAUCACUGGGCGUAAAGCGCACGUAGGCGGGUCCUUAAGUCAGGAGUGAAAUCCUGGAGCUCAACUCCAGAACUGCCCUUGAUACUGAGGAUCUCGAGUUCGGGAGAGGUGAGUGGAACUGCGAGUGUAGAGGUGAAAUUCGUAGAUAUUCGCAAGAACACCAGUGGCGAAGGCGGCUCACUGGCCCGAUACUGACGCUGAGGUGCGAAAGCGUGGGGAGCAAACAGG
rnacentral:rRNA from 1 species